GCUCUACCUUCUUACCAACCUGCAUGUUUAGAAAGAAUCGUAUGAUGCUUUCCAAAUUUCAAACACCAUCUAUAAUUAAACAGUAGAGAGCAAGACAAUCAGACAUCUAAGCCAAGCAAGUAAAGCAGCUGAAUCUGGCCUUCAGAAAACUUAAAAGGCAGAAGUGGAGGAAAAGUUUUCGCUAUAAGAUAAAGUUGCCACCUUGCUGGGCUUAAAGCGCCCUAAAGACCUCUGAGUAAGUUUCAGAUAGUCACCAAAUGUACAAAUGGAAAGGAAAGUAGUAAUACAUUUUGAGACUCAG
rnacentral:misc_RNA from 1 species